rnacentral:rRNA from 1 species
UCCGUUGGUGAACCAGCGGAGGGAUCAUUACCGAGUUUACAACUCCCAAACCCAAUGUGAACGUUACCAAACUGUUGCCUCGGCGGGAUCUCUGCCCCGGGUGCGUCGCAGCCCCGGACCAAGGCGCCCGCCGGAGGACCAACCAAAACUCUUAUUGUAUACCCCCUCGCGGGUUUUUUUUAUAAUCUGAGCCUUCUCGGCGCCUCUCGUAGGCGUUUCGAAAAUGAAUCAAAACUUUCAACAACGGAUCUCUUGGUUCUGGCAUCGAUGAAGAACGCAGCGAAAUGCGAUAAGUAAUGUGAAUUGCAGAAUUCAGUGAAUCAUCGAAUCUUUGAACGCACAUUGCGCCCGCCAGUAUUCUGGCGGGCAUGCCUGUCCGAGCGUCAUUUCAACCCUCGAACCCCUCCGGGGGGUCGGCGUUGGGGAUCGGCCCUCCCUUAGCGGGUGGCCGUCCCCGAAAUACAGUGGCGGUCUCGCCGCAGCCUCUCCUGCGCAGUAGUUUGCACACUCGCAUCGGGAGCGCGGCGCGUCCACAGCCGUUAAACACCCAACUUCUGAAAUGUGACCUCGGAUCAGGUAGA